rnacentral:rRNA from 1 species
GACGAACGCUGGCGGCGUGCUUAACACAUGCAAGUCGAACGGAAAGGCCCUGCUUUUGUGGGGUGCUCGAGUGGCGAACGGGUGAGUAACACGUGAGUAACCUGCCCUUGACUUUGGGAUAACUUCAGGAAACUGGGGCUAAUACCGGAUAGGAUCUCCUGCUGCAUGGUGGGGGUUGGAAAGUUUCGGCGGUUGGGGAUGGACUCGCGGCUUAUCAGCUUGUUGGUGGGGUAGUGGCUUACCAAGGCUUUGAGGGGUAGCCGGCCUGAGAGGGUGACCGGCCACAUUGGGACUGAGAUAGGGCCCAGACUCCUACGGGAGGCAGCAGUGGGAAAUAUUGCACAAUGGGCGGAAGCCUGAUGCAGCAACCCCGCGUGCGGAAUGACGGCCUUCGGGUUGUAAACCGCUUUCGCCGGUGACAAACCGGGAGUGACGGUAAUGGGUAAAGAAGCACCGGCUAACUACGUG